GGAGAAUCUAAGACUUCUGAAGAGUUUCUUGCUUCUUUCCUGUGGGGCAGUGACUCCACUUCCCAGCAGUAAUGGAAUAUCCUGAAUUAGCUACAUUAAUGUUAGAACCAUUUGGACCUCACCCAGGACUUCAACUACAUUAUGAGUAACUCCUGGACGAUUGGCACAGAAGGCACAAGGCAAAUACCUAUCUCUGUACACCCUGUGCUACUGUGUCAUGUGCUGCUCCAGGCAACUCCAAUGGAUUGGCCACCCUGGCCAAUGUGUUCUAGUAUGUUAGGUUUAUGUUCCCCUGCUUUCUACAAUCCUGUUCAAAGAGUUGCUGACUUAACCACAGAGAGGAUUCCAGAACAUGAGACACAGAAUAAACUUGAGCAAUCAUAGUCCAUCCACUUCAUUUUCUCAUCAAAAACCAAAGGUCCAGUGAAGCUCUGGAACUCAACGCUGUAAAGGAGCGAAGGAGCUUCUAUACAGAGCCUGGAUGCCUGUCUCCUUAUCCUACUUCAGUGGACUUGACUGCAAUCCGGACUAUGCUGUUUUCUAAGCAUUUAAAAUAAAAUAAAAAGUGUAA
rnacentral:antisense_RNA from 1 species